rnacentral:lncRNA from 1 species
AAAGAGUAUAGGAAAAUAAACCUACUUAAUAAUAUCACCAUUUUUGGUGGCUGCGCAUCACUAGCUUUAUCACCUCCAAAAUCUGUGUUCAAAAGAAGAAAAUGGGUACUACAAGCUACACCAUAUAUAGAUACAUAUUAUUCUUGCCAUCAUAUUCCUAUCUCUUGAUGUCUUCCUCAAGUCAAGGUUAGUUUGGAUUGUGAAUAGCUGACAGGGGCAUCAUUCAUGAUUUUAAAUUCAGGUAAUGAAUAUCAUCUUGUACCCAUUUAUAUAUGUGAACCUAUUUGAACUAGGUAAUCCAUUAUGUAUCAUUGAUAUAAAAGAUAGUCAUUGUUUUCUAACAAUGAUCGAUACUGUUAAUAUUUUCUCACUAAGGCUUGUGAUAUUUAUAAUAAAGGCUUACCAUAAAUGGAUCAUUUGAUAAUGAAUGAACGGUUUAGGAAUAACUGCAUCUUUAUUUGAUUAUGCAAAUCAGAAAUGUUUACAUUGUUCCUAAUUGUNNN